rnacentral:misc_RNA from 1 species
GUGAAUUUGUAGCCUCCCAGGCUCACAUUCUUUAUCAUUUCUCCAACUGUGCACAUACUGUAGACCUGGGAAACUUUUUGAAUUCCAUUCAAAGUUGGGGACUGCUGAGCUUUUCUAACCCAAAAGUCGGCUUUCCCUUGUAUUUUUUCAGGUCUAUGUUGUUAUUUCACAAACUCUAGAAACAUGUUUUAGAAUGUUGAAUGCAGGUCGUUGUACCUUUAUAAAUAUAUA